rnacentral:rRNA from 1 species
UACGUAGGGCGCAAGCGUUGUCCGGAAUUAUUGGGCGUAAAGAGCUCGUAGGCGGCCUGUUACGUCUGCUGUGAAAUCCCGGGGCUUAACCCCGGGCGUGCAGUGGAUACGGGCAGGCUGGAGGCAGGCAGGGGAGAACGGAAUUCCCGGUGUAGCGGUGAAAUGCGCAGAUAUCGGGAGGAACACCGGUGGCGAAGGCAGGUCUCUGGGCUGUAACUGACGCUGAGGAGCGAAAGCAUGGGGAGCGAACAGG